CAGAUUUGUAAAAAAUAAAACCUUUUUUUGGUGUAGAUAACAUUUACCAGACAGAAUGAAGAAAUGAACGGCUAAUUCAAUUGUUUUGUUUUCAUUUUAGUAACAUCUUUCAUGGUAAAUACAUGGAUCUUAUUAACGAAAUAAAACAUUUAAAUACUUAACUUGCUCUAAAAUAACUUGACAGAGUCACACUCGUAAAACAUGUGUAUAAUAGCUUCCCCUUCUUUAUCACAGAAAAUGCAUCAUUAUGUUCUCUAAGUCCAUGAAUUUAGACAAGUUAUUGCAAGGGUAUAUUUUGAACAAGAUUUUAAAGGGAGCAACCAAGCUUUCUUCCAUUCAAUUUCAGUAGAUCUAUGAAUUCCAGAAGAAUUUCCCUCUAUGAGGGAUCUUGUUCAUGGAGUUCAAGUUAUCUUAAGAAUGUAUUACAUUUCUUAUCCAGCAGGGGGCAACCUUUUAACAUUGUGCAUCUAUCAUGACAUGUUCUCCAAAGCAAAAAAUGCGAUUUAAUUAAGUCCUGAAGGUAUUGGUUUGAAUAUAGAAUUACAUCAUUACUGUAUUUUUACAACUAUCGUAGGUUUAUACAAUUGUAACCCCUUAUUUUAGGUACUUACAUUUUUUAAACUCAAUUCAUAUGUAGUGAUUUGUAUUUAUUUUUUUACUUUUUGUUUCUUCAGAUAAAAUAUAUGCGUAGUGAUGUCCUAUGUAUUUUUUGUGGUAUUAUAAUAUAUACAAUUGAUUUAGUGAAGGCGGAGGCACUUGGUCAUGGCUAGAAGGGACCCAGCGUUUGUCAAAUUAACGUCAGAUUUGAUUUAUUUUAAGCAGGUUAGGAGAACACACUGCAGGUUAGGAGAACACGCUGCAGGUUCAGGUUAGGAGAACACGCUGCUGGUUCAGGUUAGGAGAACACGCUGCAGGUUAGGAGAACACGCUGCAGGUUCAGGUUAGGAGAACACGCUGCAGGUUAGGAGAACACGCUGCAGGUUCAGGUUAGGAGAACACGCCGCAGGUUAGGAGAACACGCUGCAGGUUAGGAGAACACGCUGCAGGUUAGGAGAACACGCUGCAGGUUCAGGUUAGGAGAACACGCCGCAGGUUAGGAGAACACGCCGCAGGUUAGGAGAACACGCUGCAGGUUAGGAGAACACGCUGCAGGUUAGGAGAACACGCUGCAGGUUAGGAGAACACGCUGCAGGUUAGGAGAACACGCUGCAGGUUCAGGUUAGGAGAACACGCCGCAGGUUAGGAGAACACGCCGCAGGUUCAGGUUAGGAGAACACGCUGCAGGUUAGGAGAACACGCUGCAGGUUAGGAGAACACGCUGCAGGUUAGGAGAACACGCUGCAGGUUAGGAGAACACGCCGCAGGUUCAGGUUAGGAGAACACGCCGCAGGUUAGGAGAACACGCUGCAGGUUAGGAGAACACGCUGCAGGUUCAGGUUAGGAGAACACGCUGCAGGUUAGGAGAACACGCUGCAGGUUAGGAGAACACGCCGCAGGUUAGGAGAACACGCCGCAGGUUAGGAGAACACGCUGCAGGUUAGGAGAACACGCUGCAGGUUAGGAGAACACGCUGCUGGUUUUUGUGUUUGUAUGCCGCGCUCGAUUUAAAAGGCACAACCUUUAGAUUUCUUGGUGUCCGUCAUUGAUUCUUGAAUAAUCUGAUUUAUAUGAAUCUAACACGAUCUUAUCAGACUCAAUGCAUAUUGGUUCACAUCCACAGUUUUUUUUUGUACAGGCCAAUAAAUGGAACAGCCAAAUAGCCAUCAUUAUAAAGGCAAUUUAAGACACAUUUUAAAAAACAUCUUUCAAUAAUUGGUAGUAGGUACCAGGCACACUGGUUUGAAGGUCACGAACUGCAACUCUGUUAGUUUGUCAACAGUUUCCUGUGUAUCAAGAAAGAUCUAACACCCAAAGGACAAAACUGUUGGAAGUAUUGAAGUCGACAUGGACCAGCAUCCCUGUGGAACGCUUUCCACACCUUGUAGAGUUCAUGCCCCUGAAGAAUCGAGGCUGUUCUGAAGGCAAAAGGGGGGUGCAUCUCAAUACUAGGAAGGUGUACUUAAUGUUUUGUUCACUCAGUGUGUCUGCAGAGGUUACAGAAGAUGGAAAUGCUAAAAGUGUCCCACUUUUAUUCUGACUUUACUCAAAUAAAUACUACAAGACAAAAUUAACAGGAAAUAAUACGUCAAGAAUCAGACUGUUGUGCAAAUGGAAUAGACAACUGGUGGAAAUUAUAGGCAAUUAGCAAGACACCCCCAAUAAAGGAGUGGUUCUGCAGGUGGUGACCACAGACCACUUCUCAGUUCCUAUGCUUCCUGGCUGAUGUUUUGGUCACUUUUGAAUGCUGGCGGUGCUUUCACUCUAGUGGUAGCAUGAGACGGAGUCUACAACCCACACAAGUGGCUCAGGUAGUGCAGCUCAUCCAGGAUGGCACAUCAAUGCGAGCUGUGGCAAGAAGGUUUGCUGUGUCUGUCAGCGGUGUCCAGAGCAUGGAGGCGCUACCAGGAGACAGGCCAGUACAUCAGGAGACGUGGAGGAGGCCGUAGGAGGGCAACAACCCAGCAGCAGGACCGCUACCUCCACCUUUGUGCAAGGAGGAGCAGGAGGAGCACUGCCAGAGCCCUGCAAAAUGACC
rnacentral:lncRNA from 1 species